AACAGGAUUAGAUACCCUGGUAGUCCACGCCGUAAACGAUGUCGACUUGGAGGUUGUGCCCUUGAGGCGUGGCUUCCGGAGCUAACGCGUUAAGUCGACCGCCUGGGGAGUACGGCCGCAAGGUUAAAACUCAAAUGAAUCGACGGGGGCCCGCACAAGCGGUGGAGCAUGUGGUUUAAUUCGAUGCAACGCGAAGAACCUUACCUACUCUUGACAUCCAGAGAACUUAGCAGAGAUGCUUUGGUGCCUUCGGGAACUCUGAGACAGGUGCUGCAUGGCUGUCGUCAGCUCGUGUUGUGAAAUGUUGGGUUAAGUCCCGCAACGAGCGCAACCCUUAUCCUUUGUUGCCAGCGGUUCGGCCGGGAACUCAAAGGAGACUGCCAGUGAUAAACUGGAGGAAGGUGGGGAUGACGUCAAGUCAUCAUGGCCCUUACGAGUAGGGCUACACACGUGCUACAAUGGCAUAUACAAAGAGAAGCGACCUCGCGAGAGCAAGCGGACCUCAUAAAGUAUGUCGUAGUCCGGAUUGGAGUCUGCAACUCGACUCCAUGAAGUCGGAAUCGCUAGUAAUCGUGGAUCAGAACGCCACGGUGAAUACGUUCCCGGGCCUCGUACACACCGCCCGUCACACCAUGGGAGUGGGUUGCAAAAGAAGUAGGUAGCUUAACCUUCGGGAGGGCGCUUGCCACUUUGUGAUUCAUGACUGGGGUGAAGUCGUAACAAGGUAACC
rnacentral:rRNA from 1 species